rnacentral:lncRNA from 1 species
AUGUUUUCUUUGUAUGUUCUUUGCUGUAGGUACGAGGAUCCUGACAAGUGCCUGAUUCUCUAUGGUGAUGACCAGGGAUGUGUGAACAUUCUGUUUUUGGCUUCUGUCGGUGAACUAUUAAGAACUUGGAAGAAGCUGCCCAAAGUUGAGAACAUGCCAAACAUUAGCAUUAAUAAUGCUGUGAAUUCUCCAAAUGUGAAUUACAUCCGCUGGAAAGUGCACGGAGACUGGGUUACUCAGCUGAACUACUACGAUUCUAUCAACGCCGUUAUCUCAAGCUCCAAUCAUGAGCCCACUGCUCUAGUCAUAGGUGAGCACAUGCAAGUUCAAAGAGAUUUGCCCAUCAGGUCACUUAGCUGGAAGAAGUGGAAUUGGGACCUGACUCCAGUUUUUCUGACCUCAGUGCCCUAUUCCCUAGACCUGGGUUGGUAAGGCCCUGUCCCUCAGGCCUUGGAGUUUGUUUGGGGACAGCUUCGUUUCAAAAGGAGAUUCUGACCCUGGAGCGGAAUAAGUCUCUGAAACGUCAUCAUUCACCCUAGAGCAGCGAGAAAGCUGUAGCCGGUAGAGGGCGCCUCUGUCUUUGGGGUGGGGUCCCUGCAUGCCCAGCAGUAGCAGCAGCCGCCUGAGAAAGGACCAGUGAGGAGCCCAGACCCAGACAUGCAGGUCUGCCCCCUGCCCAGUGGAAGCGGGGGAGAGAGAGGCUGGGGAGGCAGGGAUUGGAUGUUCAUCACCGAGGGGGAGUUAUGACUUGGGUCUCUUCUUACAUGAGACCUUCUCAGGUAUUUCAUUCGCUGGAAUGAUCUUCACCUUUUCUGCCUCCCCCUCUCAGAGCCAUCCCUGGCCCCACUCCUGGAUUUUAAGGGCCUGCUUUCACCAAGCAGUGCAUUCGUAAGUGAAUAAAAUAUGUAACACCAUCUUCGGCA